CUCUUCUCCUCCUCUCUCUCUCUUUUCACGCGUUUCUCUUCUUCUCCAGCGACCAAGGAGGGUCCAAGCAAGUUUGUUGCCGUAGAAGCAGUAUCUGCGAAUGCAUGUUCUCGGGCCAGGGCUGCCAAGGGAUUAUGAGAGCAGAGAAGUCAAGUAAACAAGAUCAGAGAUGAAAUGUGGUGAGAAGGCAGAGAUUAUGAGAGCAGAGAAGUCAAGUAGAAGAUAAGUGUGGUGUCAAGUACUAGAAGAUAAAUGGUUCUUGUGCAUUUUAAGUAGUAGACAAAGUUUUUGUAUUGGUCGGUUUCAAUAAGAAAACACAAGAACUUGGGUUUCACUACAACAAAAACAUUUGUUUAUGCAAUUCAAAAGGAGUGUAGUUACAAAAAUAUUUUUUUUUCU